GGAGCCGAAGGGAAACCGAGUCUUAACCGGGCGUUAAGUUGCAGGGUAUAGACCCGAAACCCGGUGAUCUAGCCAUGGGCAGGUUGAAGGUUGGGUAACACUAACUGGAGGACCGAACCGACUAAUGUUGAAAAAUUAGCGGAUGACCUGUGGCUGGGGGUGAAAGGCCAAUCAAACCGGGAGAUAGCUGGUUCUCCCCGAAAGCUAUUUAGGUAGCGCCUCGUGAAUUCAUCUCCGGGGGUAGAGCACUGUUUCGGCUAGGGGGCCAUCCCGGCUUACCAACCCGAUGCAAACUGCGAAUACCGGAGAAUGUUAUCACGGGAGACACACGGCGGGUGCUAACGUCCGUCGUGAAGAGGGAAACAACCCAGACCGCCAGCUAAGGUCCCAAAGUCAUGGUUAAGUGGGAAACGAUGUGGGAAGGCCCAGACAGCCAGGAUGUUGGCUUAGAAGCAGCCAUCAUUUAAAGAAAGCGUAAUAGCUCACUGGUCGAGUCGGCCUGCGCGGAAGAUGUAACGGGGCUAAACCAUGCACCGAAGCUGCGGCAGCGACGCUGAUGCGUUGUUGGGUAGGGGAGCGUUCUGUAAGCCUGCGAAGGUGGCCUGUGAGGGUUGCUGGAGGUAUCAGAAGUGCGAAUGCUGACAUAAGUAACGAUAAAGCGGGUGAAAAGCCCGCUCGCCGGAAGACCAAGGGUUCCUGUCCAACGUUAAUCGGGGCAGGGUGAGUCGACCCCUAAGGCGAGGCCGAAAGGCGUAGUCGAUGGGAAACGGGUUAAUAUUCCCGUACUUGGUGUUACUGCGAAGGGGGGACGGAGAAGGCUAUGUUGGCCGGGCGACGGUUGUCCCGGUUUAAGCGUGUAGGUGUGUGUUCCAGGUAAAUCCGGUUCACUUUAACACUGAGGCGUGACGACGAGGCACUACGGUGCUGAAGCAACAAAUGCCCUGCUUCCAGGAAAAGCCUCUAAGCAUCAGGUAACAUCAAAUCGUACCCCAAACCGACACAGGUGGUCAGGUAGAGAAUACCAAGGCGCUUGAGAGAACUCGGGUGAAGGAACUAGGCAAAAUGGUGCCGUAACUUCGGGAGAAGGCACGCUGACACGUAGGUGAAGUGAUUUACUCAUGGAGCUGAAGUCAGUCGAAGAUACCAGCUGGCUGCAACUGUUUAUUAAAAACACAGCACUGUGCAAACACGAAAGUGGACGUAUACGGUGUGACGCCUGCCCGGUGCCGGAAGGUUAAUUGAUGGGGUCAGCGCAAGCGAAGCUCCUGAUCGAAGCCCCGGUAAACGGCGGCCGUAACUAUAACGGUCCUAAGGUAGCGAAAUUCCUUGUCGGGUAAGUUCCGACCUGCACGAAUGGCGUAAUGAUGGCCAGGCUGUCUCCACCCGAGACUCAGUGAAAUUGAACUCGCUGUGAAGAUGCAGUGUACCCGCGGCAAGACGGAAAGACCCCGUGAACCUUUACUAUAGCUUGACACUGAACAUUGAGCCUUGAUGUGUAGGAUAGGUGGGAGGCUUUGAAGUGUGGACGCCAGUCUGCAUGGAGCCGACCUUGAAAUACCACCCUUUAAUGUUUGAUGUUCUAACGUGGACCCGUGAUCCGGGUUGCGGACAGUGUCUGGUGGGUAGUUUGACUGGGGCGGUCUCCUCCUAAAGAGUAACGGAGGAGCACGAAGGUUGGCUAAUCCUGGUCGGACAUCAGGAGGUUAGUGCAAUGGCAUAAGCCAGCUUGACUGCGAGCGUGACGGCGCGAGCAGGUGCGAAAGCAGGUCAUAGUGAUCCGGUGGUUCUGAAUGGAAGGGCCAUCGCUCAACGGAUAAAAGGUACUCCGGGGAUAACAGGCUGAUACCGCCCAAGAGUUCAUAUCGACGGCGGUGUUUGGCACCUCGAUGUCGGCUCAUCACAUCCUGGGGCUGAAGUAGGUCCCAAGGGUAUGGCUGUUCGCCAUUUAAAGUGGUACGCGAGCUGGGUUUAGAACGUCGUGAGACAGUUCGGUCCCUAUCUGCCGUGGGCGCUGGAGAACUGAGGGGGGCUGCUCCUAGUACGAGAGGACCGGAGUGGACGCAUCACUGGUGUUCGGGUUGUCAUGCCAAUGGCACUGCCCGGUAGCUAAAUGCGGAAGAGAUAAGUGCUGAAAGCAUCUAAGCACGAAACUUGCCCCGAG
rnacentral:rRNA from 1 species